UCCACCUUGUUCUUCUGCAGUCCAGAGCACCAAACGCAGAGUCCUCUUGGGACGCAGCCCUGGGAAAAAUAAUAAAGCUCAUAACACAAGCAGAAAAACAGGAAGUUGGGCUGAAAUCUUAUUAAGAGGAUCCAUCCUCCUGCCUCACCACAGGAGAGCUAUAAAGAAAGAUGCUGAGUGGCUCUGAGAUGGACACACUACAGAUCUCAAGUAUAAUCUCACAAGUGUAACCACCCAGGCAUCGGGCCUUCGAGGGAAAAGGCUGGUGGACUGAAGCCUGGACAAAUGUUCCUGGUAAAUGGAGCUCUGCCGGCCUCGUCUGGGCACCAACAAAUAUUGUCCUUUCCUCGGCCUAAGGCUAAGGAGAUGAAAAGGGGCUACAUUUUUCACUAAAUGGAAUUUUGUUGUGGAGCCACUUUGCACUUGCACAUUUUAACAUAAUUACAGGAGCACAGGUUUAGGAUGCAAGCUGAUCUGAGCUCCAAUUAAAGCCUAGAAAAGAGCUGGUCCCUUUCCCUGAUGGCCUCUCCCUCCUUCAGAAC